AUUGAACGCUGGCGGCAGGCCUAACACAUGCAAGUCGAACGGUAACAGGAAGCAGCUUGCUGCUUCGCUGACGAGUGGCGGACGGGUGAGUAAUGUCUGGGAAGCUUCCUGAUGGAGGGGGAUAACUACUGGAAACGGUAGCUAAUACCGCAUAAUGUCGCAAGACCAAAGAGGGGGACCUUCGGGCCUCUUGCCAUCGGAUGUGCCCAGAAGGGAUUAGCUUGUUGGUGGGGUAACGGCUCACCAAGGCGACGAUCCCUAGCUGGUCUGAGAGGAUGACCAGCCACACUGGAACUGAGACACGGUCCAGAAUCCUACGGGAGGCAGCAGUGGGGAAUAUUGCACAAUGGGCGCAAGCCUGAUGCAGCCAUGCCGCGUGUAUGAAGAAGGCCUUCGGGUUGUAAAGUACUUUCAGCGGGGAGGAAGGGAGUAAAGUUAAUACCUUUGCUCAUUGACGUUACCCGCAGAAGAAGCACCGGCUAACUCCGU
rnacentral:rRNA from 1 species